rnacentral:rRNA from 1 species
CCUACGGGAGGCAGCAGUGGGGAAUAUUGCACAAUGGGGGAAACCCUGAUGCAGCAACGCCGCGUGAGGGAGGAAGGAUUUCGGGAUGUAAAGCUCUAUUAGCAGGGAAGAGAAAAGAAGGUACCUGAAACAGAAGCCCCGGCUAACUACGUGCCAGCAGCCGCGGUAAUAUGUAGGGGGCACGCGUUAUCCGGAGUGACUGGGUGUAAAGGGAGCGUAGACGGGAAGGCAAGGCAGAAGUGAAAGCCCAAGGCUCAACCAGGGGACUGCUUUUGAAACUGUCAAACUAGAGUACGGGAGAGGUAAGCGGAAUUCCUAGUGUAGCGGUGAAAUGCGUAGAUAUUAGGAGGAACACCAGUGGCGAAGGCGUCUUACUGGACCGAAACUGACGUUGAGGCUCGAAAGCGUGGGGAGCAAACAGGAUUAGAUACCCUGGUAGUC